ACGCCGCGUUGCUCUGCGCUGAGGUAAUUCUUGGGCUCUCGUUUGGCACUGGUGUAUAAUUUCCACACUCGCGCUGGUGUAAACUUUGAAGACAAACAAGGAAGUGUUUUGCGCAGGUGUUGAAGAAAUGGCUCCUGGUGUCGAGCGUGUCGAGUGAUCUGAAGGAAUGGGAUCACUUCAGUGCAGCAGCAGCAGAAGAGGAUACGCUGUAUAACUGAGCAGUGAGGAAGCCAUGAAAUGGAAACCAGAGAUAGUCUUCAGUCUUUUGUUUGGCAGAGUCCCUGGCGCUGUACAUUUGAGGUGGAGAUAUAAAAAGCAGGUUCUGUGCUCCAUCUCCUGAAGGAUCAUUUAUGAUCAGCUGCCAAUCUCUCCCUCUCUCUCCUUAUGUCCCAGACAAUCAUCAGACCUUGUUGGCAAACAGUAACAAAAUGUUACUUUGUCAUGUUCUCCAGGAGGGAGGUGAUAAACACAAGACAUUCACCAGGGAUUAAGCCGCUCUAACAUGCCAACUUUAUCAAUGUACACAACACACGAUGGAGUAUCAACAAACAUUACAUUUGGCUCAAAACCCAAUGCUCUUCCUUGUAUGUAAAUACUGUUUUGGGGUUAGCUUUGCAUAUUUAUUGUGUGUGAAGGUUUUAUCCUCCACUUAGCCUCUGAAGGCUGGAAAACUGUCUGGAGAGUUGUUAAGACGAACAAUACAGAUUCAGGUUCACCCCUCUGACCCUGUAAUAUGUAAAUAUGUAAUGUUUAAAAUGUGUGUGUGAUUCUGGGAAAACAGUAACAUGAGUUUCUUAGCAGGUCAUUAAAGCAUAAUGAUGACCGUCA